rnacentral:rRNA from 1 species
GACGAACCUUUGCGGCGUGCUUAACACAUGCAAGUCGAACGGAAAGGCCCUGCUUUUGUGGGGUGCUCGAGUGGCGAACGGGUGAGUAACACGUGAGUAACCUGCCCUUGACUUUGGGAUAACUUCAGGAAACUGGGGCUAAUACCGGAUAGGAGCUCCUGCUGCAUGGUGGGGGUUGGAAAGUUUCGGCGGUUGGGGAUGGACUCGCGGCUUACCAGCUUGUUGGUGGGGUAGUGGCUUACCAAGGCUUUGACGGGUAGCCGGCCUGAGAGGGUGACCGGCCACAUUGGGACUGAGAUACGGCCCAGACUCCUACGGGAGGCAGCAGUGGGGAAUAUUGCACAAUGGGCGGAAGCCUGAUGCAGCAACGCCGCGUGCGGGAUGACGGCCUUCGGGUUGUAAACCGCUUUCGCCUGUGACGAAGCGUGAGUGACGGUAAUGGGUAAAGAAGCACCGGCUAACUACGUGCCAGCAGCCGCGGUGAUACGUAGGGUGCGAGCGUUGUCCGGAUUUAUUGGGCGUAAAGGGCUCGUAGGUGGUUGAUCGCGUCGGAAGUGUAUCUUGGGGCUUAACCCUGAGCGUGCUUUCGAUACGGGUUGACUUGAGGAAGGUAGGGGAGAAUGGAAUUCCUGGUGGAGCGGUGGAAUGCGCAGAUAUCAGGAGGAACACCAGUGGCGAAGGCGGUUCUCUGGGCCUUUCCUGACGCUGAGGAGCGAAAGCGUGGGGAGCGAACAGGCUUAGAUACCCUGGUAGUCCACGCUGUAAACGGUGGGUACUAGGUGUGGGGUCCAUUCCACGGGUUCCGUGCCGUAGCUAACGCUUUAAGUACCCCGCCUGGGGAGUACGGCCGCAAGGCUAAAACUCAAAGGAAUUGACGGGGCCCCGCACAAGCGGCGGAGCAUGCGGAUUAAUUCGAUGCAACGCGUAGAACCUUACCUGGGUUUGACAUGGAUCGGGAGUGCUCAGAGAUGGGUGUGCCUCUUUUGGGGUCGGUUCACAGGUGGUGCAUGGCUGUCGUCAGCUCGUGUCGUGAGAUGUUGGGUUAAGUCCCGCAACGAGCGCAACCCUUGUUCACUGUUGCCAGCACGUUAUGGUGGGGACUCAGUGGAGACCGCCGGGGUCAACUCGGAGGAAGGUGGGGAUGACGUCAAGUCAUCAUGCCCCUUAUGUCCAGGGCUUCACGCAUGCUACAAUGGCUGGUACAGAGAGUGGCGAGCCUGUGAGGGUGAGCGAAUCUCGGAAAGCCGGUCUCAGUUCGGAUUGGGGUCUGCAACUCGACCUCAUGAAGUCGGAGUCGCUAGUAAUCGCAGAUCAGCAACGCUGCGGUGAAUACGUUCCCGGGGCU